CCCCCUGUGGCUCAGUUGGUAGAGCAUGGUGUUUGCAAUGCCAGGGUUGUGGGUUUGAUUCCCACGGGGGGC
rfam:Salmo salar isolate Sally breed double haploid chromosome ssa12, whole genome shotgun sequence.